UCCUCCGUGGCGCAAUUGGCUAGCGCGUCUGACUGUUAAGAUUGCUGUUACAGGCGUUUCAAUGGUAUCAGGAGGUUGACAGUUCAAGCCUGUCCGGGGGAG